GCUGAUAUGGUGUAUUAGAACACAUUUCCUGCUAUCAACCAGGAAAAGGAGUGGGUUCAAUUCCCAUUAUCACCA
rfam:Crassostrea gigas strain 05x7-T-G4-1.051#20 contig16944, whole genome shotgun sequence.